UGGCUCAGAACGAACGCUGGCGGCGCGCUUAACACAUGCAAGUCGAACGAGAAAGCGGGGGCAACCUCGCGAGUAAAGUGGCGUACGGGUGAGUAACACGUGGGUAAUCUACCCUUUAGUGGGGAAUAACGCUGGGAAACCGGCGCUAAUACCGCAUAAUCCCGAGAGGGGAAAGUCGUAAGACGCUGAAGGAGGAGCCCGCGGCCGAUUAGCCAGUUGGUAGGGUAAUUGCCUAGCAAAGCAAAGUAUCGGUAGCCGGCCUGAGAGGGCACACGGCCACAUUGUCACUGAAACACGAGUCAGACUCCUACUUUUUGCAGCAGUGGG
rnacentral:rRNA from 1 species